UUUGACUUGGCCAUUCCAAAACAGUACCUUUAUUCUUCUUUAACUGUUCUUUAGUAGAACGACUCGUGUGUUUAGGGUUGUUGUCUUGCUGCAUGAAUCACUUUCUCUUCAGAGUCAGUUCAUGGAUAGAUGUCCUGACAUUUUCCUUUAGAGUUUGCUGGUAUCGUUCAAAAUUCAUUGUUCCAUCAAUGAUGGAAAGUCGUCCUGGUCCAGAUGCAGCAAAACUGGUCCAAACCAUGACACUACCACCACCAUGUUUCACAGCUGGGAGAAGGUUCUUAUGCUGGAAUGCAGUGUUUUCCUUCGCUUCUCAUUUAAACCAAAAAGUUCUAUUUUGGUCUCAUCCAUCAAAUUUUUUCCCCAAUAGUCUUCUGGCCUGUUCACGUGAUCUUUAGCAAACUGCAGAAGGGCAGCAAUGUUCUUUUUGGAGAGCAGUGACUUUCUCCUUGCAGCCUUGCCAUGCACAGCAUUGUUGACUAGUACAAGCCUUGCUCUUGGAGUGAUCUUUGUUGGUCGCCACUCCUGGGGAGGGGAACAAUGGCCUUGAAUUUCCUCUGUUCAUACACAGUCUAUCUGACUGUGGAUUGGUGGAGUCCAAACUCUUUAGAGACGGUUUUGUAACCUUUUCCAGCAACUCUUUUCCCGAGGUCCUCAGAAAUCUCCUUAGUUCGUGCUUUGUAUGUACUUCCACAACAUGUAUUGUUAAGAUCAGACUCUGAUAGACCCAUGUUCUUUAAAUAAAACAGGAUGCUCACUCACUCACACCUGAUCAUCAUCCCAUUGUUCGAAAACACCUGACUCUAAAGUCAUCUUCAAAUGAACUGCUAAUCCUAGACGUUCACAUACUUUCCACUCACAGAGAUGUAAUAUAGGAUCAUUUCCCUCGAUAAGUAAAAGUACAAUUUGUCUCAUUUGUUCAUUUGUUUAAUUACACGUCCGUUUCGAACAUCCAGUAACAUUUAAAUUAAUUCUUAAAACUCAGUGUAGUGUUUUAUCAGUUACAGAGGAGGACGUUCACUCAGUGUGGAUUCUUACUGAAAAAUGGACACCGUGCUGGACACCUUGAGAGAAAAACUACACGAGGAAACUGAAAACAUUUUAGAAAUAGUAAAACAAGAGCUCGAACAACGAGAAGAGGAGAUUGAGCGUAAAAGACUGAAACUGGAAAAGAAAAAGGAAAAGAUUGAGAGGAUGAAACAAGAACUACAAGGAGAGAUAGAGCAACUGUGAGAAGAAAUAGAAGAGAAAGAUGGAGAGAUAGAGCAACUGAAAGAGAAACUAGAAAAUAAAGAGGAAAAUAUUGACAGAAAGAGACAGAAGCUGGAAAACAGAGAUAAUGAUUUAGAAGAACAAAGACAAGAACUGGAAGAGAAAGAUGAAACAAUAAACGAACUGCGAGAAGAAAUAGAAAAGAAAGAUGAAGAGAUAGAGCAACUGCAAGAAGAAAUAGAAGAGAAAGAUGAAGAGAUAGAGCAACUGAAAGAGGAACUAGAAAAUAAAGAUGGAGAGAUAGAGAGAAUGAAACAGGAACUAGAGGAGAAGGUUGGGGAGAUAUGUGGUAUAUUUGAUUAUUAAUGUAAUGUGAUGCUAAUUCACAUUCUCACCAGUGCAGAUUUUUUAGAACUCCUGAAGAAACGGGUGUGUACAGUUCUGAUUAGUUAAGAUUAGGGUCAAAAUGAGGAUAAUUUGUUUUUAGAUUGAUUAGUAAAAAUGGGCUAAGUCUCAUUCUCACAGCAGGAUGUGUGUGCGAGAGAGAAUCCAUACUGCACAUGUACUACUUCCAUUCUGUCUACAGGAGAAUAAAUAAAUCCCCAGUAAUUUGGGAA